UAGAAAACUGGCGGUGAAAACUGCUGGUUUAGUGCAUGGCUUCGGUAGCUCGGUAACCCAGAUGGGGGUCCCGGGGGUGGCCGGUAAGAUCCCGCUUUGCUGUCGUUGACGAAUGUUGUGUGGGUUGUGAAUUGAAUGGUUGGGAUUGAGUUGAUUUAUAAGGUGUCCAUCUGGGGGUGCCUCGACAUGUAGUUGCGGAUUGGAUGUCCGGUGACCGAGCAGAACAAACAACUCGUAUUGUGUGACCCUAACGGGAGAGGGUGAGUGCGUUAGCGCUAGCGUAGAAGCCCUGGUGUCAGAACUGGCACGGACCAGGGAAAUCCGACUGUCUAAUUAAAACAAAGCAUUGCGAUGUCCAUUGAUUGGUUUUGACGCAAUGUGAUUUCUGCCCAGUGCUCUGAAUGUCAAAGUGAAGAAACUCAACCAAGCGCGGGUAAACGGCGGGAGUAACUAUACCAACACAUUAGCAUUGUCUUAACACGCAGAACGGCAGAAGCCGUUAAACGCCGACUCCUUCACCUACAGUGGACGAGAUCACCCACGCCGACUACUACCCCUUCUAAUAAUCACACAAUCACGGACAUCCUUAAUACCGAGGCCCUAUAUGUUUCUCCGGUAGACCUCGACGACCAACCCCUAGUGUCUGAUGCCACAACCCCUGACACAUCCACUCCCAGAACUCCUCAUAAUCUUGACACCGCUCCCAUCUCCGCUUAGACUACAAAACAUAUCCGAACCACAGACCACCCAUGAAUCCAAUAGGAAUUCAAUGCAUACACCGCCAACGUAUGCCUGCGAUUCGGAUGAGUCACUAGGGGUUACCCCUUCAUCAACUAAUCCCUCAUGCUUCCACAGUUGUCAGGACCCCUUAGCCGAACAAAGAAGCAAACUCCUGAGGGCAUCCACUAACCUACUACGUAGAAAUUGCACUCGGAUACGAUCCUCCAGUCUGCUCGCCUUCCUCCAUAACGAAUCCACAAUAAUGGACGAGGAACAUAUAGCAACCUUCCUCAACAGUAAUGCGGAAAUAGUCUUCCCUAGAACGUAGACUCCAUCCCAACCUAAACACCCCUCCCACGUCCCAGCUAAUGUUUCUAGGAAGAAAAUGAGGAAAAUAGCAUACGCCCACAUCCAGACACUUUUCCACCACCGUCCCAAAGAUGCCGCUAACACUGUUCUAGACGGUCGGUGGAAAAACCCCGGCUCUCACAUUUCCGACAUCGAUGACUUAAACGAAUUCUGGACAACAAUAUUCACAUCCACGAGCGUCCCAGAUGUCAGAGAGAUCUUGCCUAUCAUACCAACGACUGCCGCUCUCAUAGACCUCAUCCUCCCGUCAGUUGUCCAAUGGGCUCUCCGAGAAAUGAGAGGUACGGCCCCCGGCAUAGAUCGUAUCACCGCGGUAAAUCUAAUGAAAUACAAUAAGAACAGCAUGGCAGGGUACCUUAAUAUGCUUCUAGCAUUCGCAUAUCUCCCGCUCAAUCUGAACACUGCGCGCGUAAUAUUCAUUCCUAAGACGGCAAAUCCCUCUCACCCAGCCGACUUUAGACCCGUCAGUGUUGCCCCGACGAUCACGCGAUGCCUGCACAAAAUCCUAGCAAGAAGAUGGAUGCCUUUUUUCCCACAGAAACGACUACAAUUCGCGUUCCUUAAUCGCGACGGAUGUUUUGAAGCUGUGAACUUACUACACUCGGUCAUUCGACAUGUUCACACCCAUCACACCGAGGCUUCCAUCGCCAUCCUAGACGUCUCCAGAGCUUUCGACAGCGUGUCUCAUGACUCAAUCCUCAGGGCUGCAAAGCGCUUCGGAGCUCCAGAUCUCCUAAUCCAGUACAUUAGCAACUACUACUGGAACUCAACAUCGAAAUUCAAUGACACCGAAUGCCACCCCUCAUGUGGUGUCAAGCAGGGCGACCCCCUAUAGCCCCUAUUAUUCAUAAUGGUCCUUGAUGAAGUGCUCGAAAGUCUUGACCAAAGCACACACUUAACAAUUGGAGGGGAAACAUUAAACUACAUCGCCUACGCCGACAAUCUUGUAGUAUUCGCACCAAACACCAACCUCCUGCAACAGAAAUUAGAUCGCAUCUCUCAACUAAUGAGUAAGGCAGGAUGGUCAAUUAAUGCGAUUAAAAGUAAAACAAUCAGUCUGAUAUCAGGUGGGCACAGCAAACUAACUGCACUUGAUGAUACGACGUUCACUACAUCAGGUGUGAACAUCCCUGCCCUCAAGGCCACUGACACGUUUGAAUACCUCGAAAUACCCUUCAACUUCAAAGGACGAUGCUCAGUGAACCAUAAUGAUAUCGUAAACCAAUAUUUGUCGGAAGUGUCUCGCGCGCCCCUCAAACCCCAACAACGCAUUAAGAUAUUACGUGACAACCUUAUGCCAAAACUAUUGUAUCCAUUGACUCUUGGCAUAGUGCAAAAGAGCAUCCUUAAAAAACUUGACCGAACAAUUCGGGCAGCCGCACGGAAAUGGCUAAGACUACCCAAGGACACUCCGACAGCUCUCUUCCAUUCUCCCAUCGCUGCAGGCGGUCUAGGGCUACAACAGCUAUCCUCUUCUGUGCCAUUACACCGCCGAAAACGCCUUGCAGGCUUACUAUCCUCUAGAAAUCGACUACUUCACCAGCUGCCCACAUCGCCCACGCUUAAAUCAUACACGACUGCCUGCCAAUUGCCCAUCGUAGUCGGCGGCCACAGAGUAACAUCGAAGGAAGAAGCGAGCAACAGCUUGAUCCGACAACUUCACUCCUCGCUUGACUGAAAAGGUCUAAGACCAGCGCAAGAUUGUGCCGAGUCGCACCUCUGGCUCCGCAAUCCUGAAACUCUGUACCCUAGUGUGUACAUUAACGCAGUCAAACUGCGUGGUGGCCUAUUGCCAACGAAGGUGAGGAGGUCUCGAGGAGGAAGACUAUCAAAAGGCUUAAACUGCCGUGGGGGAUGUGCACAACCCGAAAGUAUUCAACACAUACUACAACACUGCGCGCAGACUCAUCACGUUCGCUGCAAACGACACAACGAAGUCUGUACUCUAAUCUCUAGAAAACUCCACCGUCUACAGCUUACCUACUUCCAAGAGCCAUGUAUCCCAUUAGAAACGACGUACUGCAAACCGGACUUUGUCAUCAUCCGCGACUCCAUCGCGUACAUUCUGGACGUAACGAUAUCGGACGACAGCAAUAUGGAGAAAAAUCUCAAAAUACGGCAAUCCUAAAACUGUCGCCUCGAUCAUGCGCUUCCUGUCAGCUAAUUGAUUGCUUUCUUCUGGGUCUGUGACUGUCUGCCUCCUCUCCAUGUAUUGCUUGUUCUUCUCCCUUAUUUCCAAGAACUAUCACAUUGUUAUAUUGUUUGUUUUUCGUAUCCACCAUUCUGUGUCAUGUUUAACGAUGAUUGCUUUAACUACCUUGGUUGGUUGGUCCUCUUGUUUUGGCUGGCUUCGUAUGUUUUUCCAUGGCGGAAUCUGAUGACUAUUAAAAUAUUAUUACUAUUUCCGUUACUAUUAUUAUUAUCAUUAGAAUUAUGAUUAUUCGUUUUGGGCUUAUCAAUAAUCUCAUUCAAACAUUUCAAUUACAUCCACUUACUAAAAUCUUCAAUUUCCCCCUUCAUUAUUAAACUCAUAACUCUGUUUAACCGAAUACCUCUCUUUUUAAAAAUCUUAAGUAUGUAAUUUUGUGCCAAACCCAUCUGGGUCUGUACAAUUUGAUACUUAAAAAUAAAUGUUACUAGCCAAAUGCCUCGUCAUCUAAUUAGUGACGCGCAUGAAUGGAUUAACGAGAUUCCCACUGUCCCUAUCUACUAUCUAGCGAAACCACAGCCAAGGGGACGGCUUGG
rnacentral:ncRNA from 1 species